GACGAACGCUGGCGGCGUGCUUAACACAUGCAAGUCGAACGGAAAGGCCUGCAGCUUGCUGCGGGUACUCGAGUGGCGAACGGGUGAGUAACACGUGGGUGAUCUGCCUUGCACUUCGGGAUAAGCUUGGGAAACUGGGUCUAAUACCGGAUAGGACAGCUGUUUAGUGUCAGUUGUGGAAAGUUUUUUCGGUGCAAGAUGAGCUCGCGGCCUAUCAGCUUGUUGGUGGGGUAAUGGCCUACCAAGGCGUCGACGGGUAGCCGGCCUGAGAGGGUGUACGGCCACAUUGGGACUGAGAUACGGCCCAGACUCCUACGGGAGGCAGCAGUGGGGAAUAUUGCACAAUGGGCGGAAGCCUGAUGCAGCGACGCCGCGUGGGGGAUGAAGGCCUUCGUGUUGUAAACUCCUUUCGACAGGGACGAAGCUUUUGUGACGGUACCUGUAUAAGAAGCACCGGCUAACUACGUG
rnacentral:rRNA from 1 species